rnacentral:rRNA from 1 species
GCGCCGCGGAUCUUCGGUUGGCCCCGGAUAACCGGCCUCGUCGGCGAGCAGAGCCGCACGUGACAGGGCUGGGGCGCGGCCGGACGAUGGUCGCCCCUCUCCUAUCUCGCACCGCAUGUUUGUGGAGAACCUGGUGCUGAAUCACUUGCAGACGACCUGAUUCUGGGUCAGGGUUUCGUACGUAGCAGAGCAGCUCCCUCGCUGCGAUCU